rnacentral:rRNA from 1 species
GACGAACGCUGGCGGCGUGCCUAAUACAUGCAAGUCGAACGCAGUGGGGACGGGUGAGUAACACGUGGGUAACCUCCCAUCAGAGGGGAUAACACUUGGAAACAGGUGCUAAACCGAUACCGUGGGAUGGACCCGCGGUGCAUUAGCUAGCUGGUGAGGUAACGGCUCACCAAGGACACGAUGCAUAGCCGGCCGGAGAGGUUGAUCGGCCACACUGGGACUGAGACGCGGCCCAGGCUCCUACGGGAGGCAGCAGUGGGGAAUCUUCGGCAAUGGACGAAAGUCUGACCGAGCAAAGCCGCGUGAGUGAAGAAGGUUUUCGGAUCGUAAAGCACUGUUGUUAGGGAAGCGGUAGCUACCCAGAAAGCCACGGCUAACUUCGUGCCAGCAGCCGCGGUAAUUC